GGUUAAGUUAGAAAGGGCGCACGGUGGAUGCCUUGGCACUAGGAGCCGAUGAAGGACGGGACGAACACCGAUAUGCUUCGGGGAGCUGUAAGCAAGCUUUGAUCCGGAGAUUUCCGAAUGGGGAAACCCACCACUCGUAAUGGAGUGGUAUCCAUAUCUGAAUUCAUAGGAUAUGAGAAGGCAGACCCGGGGAACUGAAACAUCUAAGUACCCGGAGGAAGAGAAAGCAAAUGCGAUUCCCUGAGUAGCGGCGAGCGAAACGGGAUUAGCCCAAACCAAGAGGCUUGCCUCUUGGGGUUGUAGGACACUCU
rnacentral:rRNA from 2 species